rnacentral:lncRNA from 1 species
UUUAAGAAUGAUUCAGAAAAGACCCUGAGUCAUUUUAAAGAUCUCACAAAAGUUUAAAGGAAGAUGAAGAAAAUAAAAUUCAGCAGAUAAGUGUGUGGACAGUGCUGUAAGUAAGCAGCAGGUGGCGCUGUGGUACUCUUACAUUACACUCACCAGUUUGUGCAUUGGUGGAGGGAGUGGAAAACAAGCUAAUGGUGAAAAGACUGUUAUUAAAUAAAUCACAGGCUCAUAAAAUUCACUUUCUUUUCCACAAAUCCUCAGACUCAGAGCUUCACUAAAGAAGAGGUGGCCUAAAAACUUCUUUUAAAUUAAAAAACAGAGGAAUCACUCUCUGUCAGUCCUUCAUCAGUCAUGUUUGGAUGUUUACAAACUGCUGACUGUUGGAGUUUGGUGCAAAUACGGCUCAGAGACUUAGAGCUUGGGUUCCUUAUGAAGAAAGAAAGAUGGCUGCAUGUUUUAAAAAAUGAAAUCUGAAGGUUUUGAUCAGAUAUUUCGUCGUUUCCUUGUACAAGGAGGGACCUGUCAAUGUAAGUGUAUCAGCCUCAGGGGAUCUGAGAACUAGGACUAAAGAGCCAAACCAUCCACUUCUGCAGAUGAGGUCACUGCAACCUCAUAAUCCUCUGUGUAAGCGCAUUUUUCAAGAUUCAGAAGCAAGGAGAUAUAAUAAUAAUGCAUCAGAUUUCAUAUAGCGCUUUAUCAGAGACCCUCAAAGCGCUUGACAUUGGAUACAUCAUUCAUUCGCUCACACAGUCACACUUUUGGUGGUGGUGGAAACGUGGCUGCCAUUCUGCGCCUACGGCCUCUCCCACCACCGCCACACAACACUCACAAUCAUACACCAGUGGAGGACACACACACUGGGAGCAAGGUGGGUUAAGUGUCUUGCCCAAGGACACAACGGACAGACUUGGAUUAGGGGGGAAUCGAACCGCCAACCUUCCGGUUAUUGGACAACCGCUCUACCUCCUGAGCUACUGCUGCCAUGUAACCAGGUGUACAUGUGUACAUGCAUCUGCUUGUCUCUGAGUCUUAACUGGCCAAUAGCACUUCUUAAUGUUCCUGUAGAAAAAAGUGAUGAUGUAUCAGAUUAGAAACUGGGUGAGAAAAUUAACCCAAAUGACGCCUGAAUUUACCGAAGGAUCGCACGAGUUCUGGGCUUGGAAAAAGGUACAACUCUGCACACCAAGGUCUCGAAGCAAAGACGAGUAUGAACUAGUUUCAAUCUGACACCAACCUGAGGCGAGGUGAACCAGAACAUAACAUUCUAGGAAACUAGGUAACCUGAGUCCACCUGCUGUGACCUCCAGUUUCAGAAUCUACUGAAAGACUUUUUGAGGAUCUGCAGAAAACGUGCAGCAGAAGAGGAUAUGAGGCAGUGGUUUGGGUCAAACAUCUCCUCAUGGACUCCAUCAGAUGUGUUUAAUGUGUGUUUCUUGUUUGGGUACUUUUGAACCCGUUGACAGGCGUUUUCCAAACCUCAGCAGCCCCAUGACAGCGGGACCCUGGCUGGGUUUCCAUUUGAUCCACCAGCGCUGUUCGAGUCCCCACUGCGAACGCCACCCAUCGGCACGUUUCAAGUCCCUGGAGAAGAAGAAAAGAAGCUCAUUAGCAUCUGAUAUUAGCUGCAGAAUCAGAGGAUCGUCAGGAAUUAAUGAGCUGAGAGUCUUUAAGUUCAACCAGGAGCUUCAAAGAGAGAGAGUCGUAUCAUCAGCGUACGAGUUGACAUCAAAGCUCAGACAUGUAAUGAAUCUCCAUCAAACAGCACAGCUUUAUACUUCUCCAUCCUCAGACUCUGGUUUUGUUUCAUACUCCAGCUCUGCUAACUAAGUUUCUGCUUUUCAGGGACCGCUGAGAGAAAGUAAAGUUUGUUUUUACUCUCACUGACAGAAGAUUUACCUCAGAGCGGACGAUUUCUGAGGCCAUUUUUCACCAUGAUCCCGGAUCAGCAGCUUUACGUCUGCAGCAGAGUCGCUCUGAAGCUCCUGUCAGACUGAAGGACGCUCAGACGAAGAGUUAAGCUCUGCUGGCUGGACAAAUACUGUUGCCUCCGAUUUUCAGGGGUUCAGAGACGUAAAUCCUCGCCUACAUGUUGAGCUCUGGAUGAUCCCUUCAUGGGCAGAUCGGGAAGAUUUUAGGACACCGGAAACAUCUGUCUAGAUCGAGUAACUGUUAAAGUCUGUAGCAGUAAAUAAAGUGAAUAUAAUCAAAAAAGAACAUGCUGCACUUCACCAACAAUGCACACCAGAGCUUUUCUGGUCAUUUUACCUCCCGAGGACUGAUUAAUUCACUCUGAUUUCAGCGAUUUAUUUCAUCUGCGUUGUUUCUAAAAAGUUAGAAUGAAGAGAAAAAAAGUUGAUAAAAGGAGAAUUUGAUGGUUUUCAAAUCCUUUACAGUCUUUUUAGAAAUAAAUACACUGAGAGGGCAACAUAAUCGAUUUAAAAAGAUUCUUUUAUGGGAUAACAGGCGGUCCUGGGUCUGUGUACCCGGGUCUUUGUGGUUCUUUUAGGUGUUUCUGCAUCGUUAAAAUGGUUUUGUGUCAUUUCAGUUUCCAUUUUUGUCUCCCUUCUCUGUCUAGUUGUGAUAAUUAUACAUCUCAAGAGUCGAUAUCCUAUCUGUAGCAGCAGGUCUUCUGAUAUCGGCCACAUACAGAGUUAACAGAAGAAGAAGAAGAAGAGGAGUUCUUGGAGGCUGACAGGAGAAUGAAGUCUGACUGAAGAAGAAGAAAGUAAUGAUCAAAAGAUACAGAGUCGUGUCCUGCUGCAAAGGCAAAGUCUUCUUCAUGACGAAGAGUCAGCAGUGUGUUUUGGUGGUUUGUUUACGGGGACAUUUCUUUAUGCUGAGCUUAAAAAGACACAAUCAGAAACCAAAUCAGGCCCUGGAGCCACGCGAGACAAAGCCACGGGUCUUAAACCUCCUACUUGACUUCUCUCUGCAGGUUUAUUUAUAGUCAGUCUCCUCGAAUGUCCCGCUCGUCCUCCGAGAGCUGACAUAACACACGGUUUUAAUGCUGAGACCCUCCUCCUUGUUUGCUCUUGAUUCUGUGCGUGCCCAGCAGCUGCAGCAGCAGCAGUGGCAGCAGCUCCUUGUCAGCACAAUGCUCUCAUUCCCACACUAAUGCAGCGCUGACAACAGGAGGAUUUGGAUGCUGCAGCAGCUCUGACUCCACAGGCCGGAUGUUUACCCACAACAAAGGGCUCAGUGUGUGGUCGUAAAUAAAUAAAGAAAAAGUCAGGGAUCAUCACAAAAACACCCGAUAUCAACAAAAAUCAGUCACCAUCAAAGCAUCCUGUCAGAGCCGGAGAGACAGACCGAGAACAGAGGGACCGAAAAGUAAUAAAAGUUUGUUCCUGAAAUGAGACACAGUCACAGAAAUACGUCAUACAAACUCCUAAUAUAAACACAUAAGAAAGUACUAACACCAGAACAUUAAACCAUGUUUGGGACUGGACAACCUUAACCCCCAAAAAGCUGGUGUGUUGUAUGACAAACUUUGAUGGUUUUCAAAUAAUUUAAAGUUCAUAUUCUUAUUUAAGUAUUUUCUUAUACAAUUUAUCAGAAACAAAAACUGAAAAAUUUUGUUGGUUUGUAAAGAAAAUACACACUCAUUAAGAAUUUAAAUGUAGCAAAAGGUUUAAAAGAGGAGCAACCAAACAGGUCAAAAGUUCUUAUAGAGGAGCAACCAAACGGGUCCAAAGUUGUAAUGUUGAAAAAAACACCUGAACUUGUGGGGUCAAUGUUCAUCUUGCUGAAACCUUUGCUGAAGUUUUGCUCUUUGACCUUGGCUCCUGCUGUUGUUUCUCUUUAUUGGGUGUUUAUUGUUUUAAGGUGCAUUCAAAGACACUCCAAUUUGUGGAUUAUUCAUAAUAAGUUCUAAAGCUAUAAAAUCCCAGGACAAACAACAACAAAGUCCACUGGAACAAAUUCGAAGACUCUCAGGGAUGCUUAAAAAGUGUAACACAGAAGGCUGGGGACUCAGAGAGAUCCAGAGUCCACAGCUCAGUCCCAAAACCAAAACUUUGUUAACCCAAAAGAUUAAGUCGAUCUAACGGUUACACAGCUACAAUUUUAAUGACACUGAGAAAGCCUCUCACUAUCUCUGAGGAGGAGACAGCACCAAGCACUGGAUCUGAAGGGUUCAUAUCACCCUCCUCCAAUCAGGCUCCGACACACCUGAUCCAGCUCAGGGAUGAUUCCCUCCUCCAGCUCAAGGAAUGGUCACAGUGAAUACCCUUCACUGUUUUUCCAUCCAUCCAUUUUCUACCGCUUAUUCCCGUUAGGGGUCACAGGGGACUGGAGCCUAUCCCGGCAUCUUCAGGCGGAGGUAGGGGACACCCUGGACAAGUCGCCAGUUCAUCACAGGGCUGACAUACAGAGACGAACGACCAUCCACGCUCACAUUCACACCUACGGGGAAUUUGAAAGUGGCCAGUUAACCUAACCCCACUUCUGCAUGUUUUUGGGAUGUGGGAGGAAACCGGAGUACCCGGAGUAAACCCACACAGACACAGGGAGAACAUGCAAACUCCACACAGAAACGCCCUGACCCGGAUUCAAACCCAGGACCCUCUUGCUGUGAGGUAACAGUGCUAACCACUACACCACUGUGCCGCCCCUUUCACUGUUUUUGUCCUAUCAUAUUAGGUACAUCCGGUCUCUCUGCAGGGCCACCUUCACCUCUGCGAACACACCUGAAAUCCAGCGAUGCCUUGGGAAUAUUCAUUUCUUCACGUUUAACAAAAAUUAACUAGAAACUAUCAUUUGGCUGAUGGGUCAGAUAUCUGAAACAUCAGACUCAGUACGUUCUUCAUUUUACCACUGGAAUGAAAUUAUACUAUGAAUUGUUCCAAACCCUUAUCAGCACAGAAAAAAAAGCAGGUUAUAUAAUAACAGCAGAGCCUGAACUGACCUUCAGCUCCAUGUUUGUCUGUUUACCAUCAGAGGGACGGAGGAUUUCAGGAAGCAGCUCAUGUGCGUGUCAGAAGGGUUUAAGUUUCUAUGAAGGUUGGGGACAUGAAAACCUUCAUCCCUCCACACUAAUAUGAAAAUAUAAAUAGCAGCACUGCAGGGAGGG